ACACCGACUCAAAUCCACAAGUUCAACAAAAUUACACUUUAAACACACACUCAAGCAGACAUUCGAUCCAGACCCGCAAAUCAGCAUGUGCACAACCAAAAUUGAAAUAAUUAUAAAUACACAACCAUAAUCAACGCACUAAUUUCAACCUAUGAUUUCAUCAAAAUUGCACAUGAAAUGAGAAUGUAAUUGUCACAACAGCACAAAACAACAAUAGGUUGGAAGAAGCUUGAAGUUGUUACCGAAAC
rnacentral:lncRNA from 1 species